CUCUGGCCUCAAAUCAGGCAGGACUACCCGCUGAACUUAAGCAUAUCAAUAAGCGGAGGAAAAGAAACUAACAAGGAUUCCCCUAGUAACGGCGAGUGAAGCGGGAAAAGCUCAAAUUUGAAAUCUGGCGGUCUACGGCCGUCCGAGUUGUAGUCUAGAGAGGUGUCUUCUGCGUCGGACCAUGCACAAGUCCCUUGGAACAGGGCGUCAUAGAGGGUGAGAAUCCCGUCCGUGGCAUGGACUCCCGGUGCUUUGUGAUGCGCCUUCGAAGAGUCGAGUUGUUUGGGAAUGCAGCUCAAAAUGGGUGGUAAAUUCCAUCUAAAGCUAAAUACAGGCGAGAGACCGAUAGCGAACAAGUACCGUGAGGGAAAGAUGAAAAGCACUUUGGAAAGAGAGUUAAACAGUACGUGAAAUUGUUGAAAGGGAAACGCUUGGAGUCAGUCGCGUUUGCCGGGACUCAGCCUUGCUUCUGCUUGGUGCACUUCCUGGUACACGGGCCAGCAUCGAUUUUGAUCGCCGGAAAAAGGCUUGGGGAAGGUGGCACCUUCGGGUGUGUUAUAGCCCCUUGUUGUAUACGGUGGUUGGGAUUGAGGACCGCAGCACGCCUUUUGGUCGGGGUAUCGCCCACGCCACGUGCUUAG
rnacentral:rRNA from 1 species